rnacentral:rRNA from 1 species
CAAUAGCAUAUAUUAACGUUGUUGCAGUUGAAAAGCUCGUAGUUGAACUUUUGGUAGGAGCGACCUGGCCUUGGGCGCAUGCCCUUGUUUUGCCGUGUGUCGUAUCUGGCCAUCCUUUUCUUCUUCGGAAGGAAUCCUUUACUGUGAGUAAACUGGAGUGCUCAAAACAAGACGUUUGUUUGGUACAUUAAAGCAUGGAAUAAUAAGAUAGGACCUGGUUACUAUUUUGUUGGUUUGCAUAGCUAGGUAAUGAUUAACAGGGACAGUUGGGGGUAUUCGUAUUUAAUUGUCAGAGGUGAAAUUCUUGGAUUUAUGAAAGACGAACGACUGCGAAAGCAUUUACCAAGGAUGUUUNCAUUA